AGACUUGUGAGUCCCUGCUGGAGUCAGAAGUUUUAGGCGAAUCCCAGGCGCGCCAAGGAAAGUGCUACAAAAGCCAUCCAUCUUGCAAGCGUUGGUGCCGAGGCGCAACGCUGAGAACGCAAAUACUAAAGGGCGCUGUUCUUUCCUCGUGGAGCUCACAGUCCGCUGGGGAGACCGUGAGAUGACAGCAGAGAAACUAGCGCGAUCAGUAGUACUCAGCGCAAGGACAGCGAGCAGAGAAGGCAAACCUAGUGCUUGCUAAGGAAGACUUCACAGAGGAGGUAGUGUCAGGGCCGAGACUAGGAGAAGGAUUGUAAGUGACUAGAUUUUACUUUAUCCUUCUCGUUAACCAAAAUUAAUUUACCUCUCACCUUUUCUCCUGUUGUCGUCCCACCCCUAUCGAGGCAGUCACACCUUAAAAAAAAAAGGAGGGGUUAUUCCUGCUUUUGCCGUGCUGUGAUCCAGGGCAGAGUUUCUCGUCAACCAGUAAAACAUCCAGUAACACAGCCAAUGGAAAUAAAUGAAUGGGUCUCUGUUUAUAGUGAAGAUUCUUUCGUUCUCCAGCUCCAGGCUUCAUACGGUAAAACUCUCUGGGAAGGAAAGGAACUCAGAGUCCCAUGCAGAAAAUUGUUCAGCUGGAGGGGUAUCAGAAAGAUGGAUUUCCAAAGCCAACUGUUUCCUGUAGUGUGUGGAUCUCUGCAAGCAGAGCCUCAUCUUUCAAUUUCAGCUACAUGAAAGAGGAAGAAAGGGAAAGAUAUAUGUCAUACGUGAUAUACUUUAUGUGGCUUUGAAGACCCCUCUUUUGUGGGGCUACGGCUAAAGAACAUAGUUCCCUGGGAUGGAAUUGGCUCUUCCUAUUUCCCUACUUCAUGAAAACUCCAGUAGAAGACCUUAGAACCUUGUCCUGGUUACAUGGAUAUGUUUACUUUGUGAAAAUUCAUCAAGCACUAUGCACGGUCAUGAUUUGUACAUUUUUUUGUAAGAUAACUUCAUUAAAAUUUACUUUUUUUAUUUUUAAAAA
rnacentral:lncRNA from 10 species